rnacentral:rRNA from 1 species
UUAAGCGACUAAGCGUACACGGUGGAUGCCCUGGCAGUCAGAGGCGAUGAAGGACGUGCUAAUCUGCGAAAAGCGUCGGUAAGGUGAUAUGAACCGUUAUAACCGGCGAUGUCCGAAUGGGGAAACCCAGUGCAAUUCGUUGCACUAUCGUUAACUGAAUACAUAGGUUAACGAGGCGAACCGGGGGAACUGAAACAUCUAAGUACCCCGAGGAAAAGAAAUCAACCGAGAUUCCCCCAGUAGCGGCGAGCGAACGGGGAGCAGCCCAGAGUCUGAAUCAGCUUGUGUGUUAGUGGAACGGUCUGGAAAGUCCGACGGUACAGGGUGAUAGUCCCGUACACCAAAAUGCACAGGCUGUGAACUCGAAGAGUAGGGCGGGACACGUGGUAUCCUGUCUGAAUAUGGGGGGACCAUCCUCCAAGGCUAAAUACUCCUGACUGACCGAUAGUGAACCAGUACCGUGAGGGAAAGGCGAAAAGAACCCCGGCGAGGGGAGUGAAAAAGAACCUGAAACCGUGUACGUACAAGCAGUGGGAGCACCUUCGGGUGUGACUGCGUACCUUUUGUAUAAUGGGUCAGCGACUUAUAUUCUGUAGCAAGGUUAACCGUAUAGGGGAGCCGCAGGGAAACCGAGUCUUAACUGGGCGUUAAGUUGCAGGGUAUAGACCCGAAACCCGGUGAUCUAGCCAUGGGCAGGUUGAAGGUUGGGUAACACUAACUGGAGGACCGAACCGACUAAUGUUGAAAAAUUAGCGGAUGACUUGUGGCUGGGGGUGAAAGGCCAAUCAAACCGGGAGAUAGCUGGUUCUCCCCGAAAGCUAUUUAGGUAGCGCCUCGUGAACUCAUCUUCGGGGGUAGAGCACUGUUUCGGCUAGGGGGUCAUCCCGACUUACCAACCCGAUGCAAACUACGAAUACCGAAGAAUGUUAUCACGGGAGACACACGGCGGGUGCUAACGUCCGUCGUGAAGAGGGAAACAACCCAGACCGCCAGCUAAGGUCCCAAAGUCAUGGUUAAGUGGGAAACGAUGUGGGAAGGCACAGACAGCCAGGAUGUUGGCUUAGAAGCAGCCAUCAUUUAAAGAAAGCGUAAUAGCUCACUGGUCGAGUCGGCCUGCGCGGAAGAUGUAACGGGGCUAAACCAUGCACCGAAGCUGCGGCAGCGACACUAUGUGUUGUUGGGUAGGGGAGCGUUCUGUAAGCCUGCGAAGGUGUGCUGUGAGGCAUGCUGGAGGUAUCAGAAGUGCGAAUGCUGACAUAAGUAACGAUAAAGCGGGUGAAAAGCCCGCUCGCCGGAAGACCAAGGGUUCCUGUCCAACGUUAAUCGGGGCAGGGUGAGUCGACCCCUAAGGCGAGGCCGAAAGGCGUAGUCGAUGGGAAACAGGUUAAUAUUCCUGUACUUGGUGUUACUGCGAAGGGGGGACGGAGAAGGCUAUGUUAGCCGGGCGACGGUUGUCCCGGUUUAAGCAUGUAGGCUGGUUGUCCAGGCAAAUCCGGAUAAUCAAGGCUGAGGUGUGAUGACGAGGCACUACGGUGCUGAAGUAACAAAUGCCCUGCUUCCAGGAAAAGCCUCUAAGCAUCAGGUAACAUCAAAUCGUACCCCAAACCGACACAGGUGGUCAGGUAGAGAAUACCAAGGCGCUUGAGAGAACUCGGGUGAAGGAACUAGGCAAAAUGGUGCCGUAACUUCGGGAGAAGGCACGCUGGUGUGUAGGUGAAGUCCCUGCGGAUGGAGCUGAGACCAGUCGAAGAUACCAGCUGGCUGCAACUGUUUAUUAAAAACACAGCACUGUGCAAACACGAAAGUGGACGUAUACGGUGUGACGCCUGCCCGGUGCCGGAAGGUUAAUUGAUGGGGUUAUCCGUAAGGAGAAGCUCUUGAUCGAAGCCCCGGUAAACGGCGGCCGUAACUAUAACGGUCCUAAGGUAGCGAAAUUCCUUGUCGGGUAAGUUCCGACCUGCACGAAUGGCGUAAUGAUGGCCAGGCUGUCUCCACCCGAGACUCAGUGAAAUUGAACUCGCUGUGAAGAUGCAGUGUACCCGCGGCAAGACGGAAAGACCCCGUGAACCUUUACUAUAGCUUGACACUGAACAUUGAGCCUUGAUGUGUAGGAUAGGUGGGAGGUUUUGAAGCGUGGACGCCAGUCUGCGUGGAGCCAACCUUGAAAUACCACCCUUUAAUGUUUGAUGUUCUAACGUUGGCCCCUGACCGGGGUUGCGGACAGUGUCUGGUGGGUAGUUUGACUGGGGCGGUCUCCUCCCAAAGCGUAACGGAGGAGCACGAAGGUUAGCUAAUCCUGGUCGGACAUCAGGAGGUUAGUGCAAUGGCAUAAGCUAGCUUGACUGCGAGCGUGACGGCGCGAGCAGGUGCGAAAGCAGGUCAUAGUGAUCCGGUGGUUCUGAAUGGAAGGGCCAUCGCUCAACGGAUAAAAGGUACUCCGGGGAUAACAGGCUGAUACCGCCCAAGAGUUCAUAUCGACGGCGGUGUUUGGCACCUCGAUGUCGGCUCAUCACAUCCUGGGGCUGAAGUAGGUCCCAAGGGUAUGGCUGUUCGCCAUUUAAAGUGGUACGCGAGCUGGGUUUAGAACGUCGUGAGACAGUUCGGUCCCUAUCUGCCGUGGGCGCUGGAGAAUUGAGGGGGGCUGCUCCUAGUACGAGAGGACCGGAGUGGACGCAUCACUGGUGUUCGGGUUGUCAUGCCAAUGGCACUGCCCGGUAGCUAAAUGCGGAAGAGAUAAGUGCUGAAAGCAUCUAAGCACGAAACUUGCCCCGAGAUGAGUUCUCCCUGAGACUUUAAGUCUCCUGAAGGAACGUUGAAGACGACGACGUUGAUAGGCCGGGUGUGUAAGCGCAGCGAUGCGUUGAGCUAACCGGUACUAAUGAACCGUGAGGCUUAACCUU